rnacentral:rRNA from 1 species
AUUGAACGCUGGCGGCAUGCCUUACACAUGCAAGUCGAACGGUAACGCGCCUUCCGGUGUGGCGGAGUGGGGAGCGGGGGAGUAAUAUAUCGGAACGUGCACGAUCGUGGGGGCUAACGCUGCGAAAGCUUUUCUAAUACCGCAUACGAUCUACGAAUGUGAGCCUGGGGCCGCAAGGGCCUGCGCGGGCGGGGCGGCCGAUGGCGGAUUAGCUAGUUGGUGGGGUAAAAGCUUACCAAGCCGACGAUCAGUAGCUGGUCUGAGAGGAGGAUCAGCCACACUGGGACUGAGACACGGCCCAGACUCCUACGGGAGGCAGCAGUGGGGAAUUUUGGACAAUGGGGGCAAGCCUGAUCCAGCAAUGCCGCGUGGAGGAUGAAGGCCUUCGGGUUGUAAAGUACUUUUGUCCGGAACGAAAAGGCGUUGGUUAAUACGUGGGGGGGAUGACGGUACCGGAAGAAUAAGCACCGGCUAACUACGUG